rnacentral:lncRNA from 1 species
AGGCAUUCAGGCAGCGAGAGCAGAGCAGCGUAGAGCAGCACAGCUGAGCUCGUGAGGCAGGAGACUCAGCCCGAGGAAAUCGCAGAUAAGUUUUUAAUUAAAAAGAUUGAGCAGUAAAAAGAAUUAGAACUCUAAACUUAAGCUAAUAGAGUAGCUUAUCGAAAUAUUACUUAGUCUUAAUAAUCUAAGAAGAUCUUAAGAGAUAACAUGAAGGCUUAUUUAAACAGUUUGAAAAAGGAAAUGAGGAGAAAAGUAUUUGUACUGUAUAAUGGAGGCUGACCAGAGCAGUUUAGGAGAUUGUAAAGGGAGGUUUUGUGAAGUUCUAAAAGGUUCUAGUUUGAAGGUCGGCCUUGUAGAUUAAAACGAAGGUUACCUAAAUAGAAUCUAAGUGGCAUUUAAAACAGUAAAGUUGUAGAGAAUAGUUUGAAAAUGAGGUGUAGUUUUAAAAGAUUGAGAAAAGUAGGUUAAGUUGACGGCCGUUAUAAAAAUCCUUCGACUGGCGCAUGUACGUUUGAAGGCAGAGGCAGGCGGAUUUCUGAGUUCGAGGCCAGCCUGGUCUACAGAGUGAGUUCCAGGACAGCCAGGGCUACACAGAGAAACCCUGUCUUGAAAAAACAAAAAGGUUAGGCUAGUAUUUGGAGAAAGAAGAUUAGAAAAUGGAAGUGAAAGACGAAGAAGACAUACAGGAAGGUGAAGAAAAAGCUGUUAGAGAAGAUAGGAAAAUAGAAGACAAAGCAUCUUUAGAAGACAGAAAAGGUACUUAAAGGCACAGGUAGUAGGAAGCCGAAGAAUAGAAGAUAGAAAGAAGCAA